GACGAACGCUGGCGGCGUGCUUAACACAUGCAAGUCGAGCGGAGCGGCGAACGGGUGAGUAACGCGUGAGUAACUGCCCCCCUCUCUGGGAUAACAGUUGGAAACGGCUGCUAAUACAGGAUAGUGGGGGAUGACUCGCGUCCUAUCAGCUUGUUGGUGGGGUAGUGGUCUACUAAGGCGACGACGGGUAGCCGGCCUGAGAGGGCGACCGGCAACAGUGGGCUGAGAUACGGCCCAAACUCGUACGGGAGGCAGCAGUGGGGAAUAUUGCACAAUGGGGGAAACCCGAAUGCAGCGACGCCGCGUGGGGGAUGAAGGCUUUCGGGUUGUGAACCUCUUGCACACGAGUUCGGGUAGGUGGAGAAGAAGCGCCGGCUAACUACGUGCCAGCAGCCGCGGUAAUUC
rnacentral:rRNA from 1 species